UUAAGCCAUGCGAGUCGACACAGCAAUGUGUGGCAUACGGCUCAGUAACACGUAGUCAACAUGCCCAGGGGACGUGGAUAACCUCGGGAAACUGAGGAUAAACCGCGAUAGGUCACUACUUCUGGAAUGGGUAAUGAUCCAAACCUAUAUGGCCCCUGGAUUGGACUGCGGCCGAUCAGGCUGUUGGUGAGGUAAUGGCCCACCAAACCUGUAACCGGUACGGGCUCUGAGAGGAGGAGCCCGGAGAUGGGCACUGAGACAAGGGCCCAGGCCCUAUGGGGCGCAGCAGGCGCGAAACCUCUGCAAUAGGCGAAAGCUUGACAGGGUUACUCUGAGUGAUUUCCGUUAAGGAGAUCUUUUGGCACCUCUAAAAAUGGUGCAGAAUAAGGGGUGGGCAAGUCUGGUGUCAGCCGCCGCGGUAAUACCAGCACCCCGAGUGGUCGGGACGUUUAUUGGGCCUAAAGCAUCCGUAGCCGGUUCUACAAGUCUUCCGUUAAAUCCACCUGCUCAACAGAUGGGCUGCGGAAGAUACUAUGGAGCUAGGAGGCGGGAGAGGCAAGCGGUACUCGAUGGGUAGGGGUAAAAUCCGUUGAUCCAUUGAAGACCACCAGUGGCGAAGGCGGCUUGCCAGAACGCGCUCGACGGUGAGGGAUGAAAGCUGGGGGAGCAAACCGGAUUAGAUACCCGGGUAGUCCCAGCUGUAAACGAUGCAGACUCGGUGAUGAGUUGGCUUUAUGCCAACUCAGUGCCGCAGGGAAGCCGUUAAGUUUGCCGCCUGGGGAGUACGGUCGCAAGACUGAAACUUAAAGGAAUUGGCGGGGGAGCACCACAAGGGGUGAAGCCUGCGGUUCAAUUGGAGUCAACGCCGGAAAUCUUACCGGGGGCGACAGCAGAAUGAAGGUCAAGCUGAAGACUUUACCAGACAAGCUGAGAGGAGGUGCAUGGCC
rnacentral:rRNA from 1 species